CUGUCUCUGACCACAUGCGUGCUAUGGCACUCACACAGGACACACACACACACACACACACACACACACACACACACACACACACACACACACGUAAGUGCAUGUACACAAAAGAAAUACAUACAUAUUAAAAGAUGAAAUGUAAGUCAAUAUAAAGGCAAAAAAAUUGUAUCAAGAUAAGGAAUUACUCUGAGUUAAUAAUUAGACAACUGAGAAUUGAAUGGGUAAGGAAUUUGGUCACUUAAAAAUUAUGUUAACAUGACAAACAUAAAAUGAUAAACAUGAAAAGCUGUACCAUUUCAUGAGCUCUUAGGGAAAUAUGCAAAUCAAAACUACAAAGGGGUGUCUGGGGUUUUUUUCUAACCAAAAUAGCUAAAGUUUGUUAAAAAAUGAUAAUAUCAAGUUUGGAGAAAUUAAGAGAGAGAAAACCAUAUUCAAAUCCUGAUGAUGGAAGGAAGUACUUGUACAGCCAUGUUGCAAAACUGACAUCAUUUUCCAGCAGUGAAUUCCUAAAUGAACAGCAACAGAAAUACAUAUGUAGGUAAGCAUACACACCAAAAAGAAUACUGUGAGUGCUUUGAAGAGGAUCACUGAAAUACCCAUAAGCAGGGGUCAGAUAAAUCUCACUGUAAGACAGAAUACCAUACUGCAUCAAAGCCAGAGGGCUGCUGCCUCAUGCAACAGUAGGAAUCUCACUAUCUUGUCACUCUCCAGGACCAACACAAAGCUGUACACAUUCUGGCUCCAUUUGCAAGAAGAAUGGAAAAGAAUAAGACCAAGGUCUGCUACGAGAAGUCAAAAUGUGGUUUGCCUUGAGCAAUUUGGAGCAGAGCAACAGGGCUUUAGAAGGUGCUGGGUUGCUGAUUCCAGAGGUGUUCGCUUUCUUGUAGCCUAAUUGACCUACAAAACUUUUGGUUUGCACAUUUUUUAGCUUUCAUGCCAUAUUUUAACUUCAAAAUCCUUUCAAAAGGAAAAAUGUCAGCAGAAAUAUUUUAACUGUAUUCCCUUUGUGUUAAGCUGCUGGAAUUGUAGGACUUCUUGCAACAACCAAAGCUGCCCUGACAAAGAAACUCAAAGGUCAUCACUAUUCAUAUUACAGGUAAGAUAUCUGCUGUUUAGAAAAUUGGAGGGUCACUCAGUGUCACAGAGCUGGACCAGAGCCGUGCAGCAGUACCAUUGGGAGGCAGUAGAACACGGAGUUAAGCUCUGGGCUCCAGAGCCUGUGUCUUCAUUUUAUAAGUGCUUCAUAAUUAAUGAUGCCGCGAUGCCGAUCUGUAUUCUACAAGGCUGAUUCUUUUGCAGAAAUCAAUAGUCUGACAGAGGAAAUCCUUUUGGGAAGAGACUGUUUAAUCAUCUUCAUUAUCAUCAUCAUUAUCAUUGUGAUAGACGGCAUUUAUUGAAUUCUUAAGAUGUGCAAGUGACUGAAUAUGAAUAACCGUAUCUCGUCCUUCCUCUAGCUUUGAAAAACAAGUUUACUAAAUACCAGAAGGCACAUGGCAUUGAUUCCUCACAUUAGCCCAGUCCAGUACCUUACCUCAAAUGGGUUUAUUUCUGGCUGCCUGGCAGAGGAUUCAUGUUGUAGAAUAGCCAUCAUACACAUUACUGGCAAGCAAAGUUUCUACAUAAAUGCAGAUGUGGUUUGUAAAGGCAUAUCAAGUAUCUUCAUAUCCUUUUUCAGCAGUGUGAUGACAAAUAACUAAUCUCUUUGGUCCUCAGUUUCCCCGACGUACAAAUGGGAUGAGUUCGCCAAACUAGAGCUUUGUGGCAAAAUGAUCAUUUCAGUAUCUGAGAGCACCUGGCAGAGGGAGGAGCUGCAAGAGAGGCAGGCUCCCUUUAGCCCUGAGUAUCCAGCUAAAAUGCCCUCUGACUUGCCCAUAACCUUGACCAGCCUUUAGAGAAGUCUUCCCAGUAUUCUCCCUUAACUAAUUAAACAGAACUAAAUGUACACCUUUUAGCUUUCUCAUGCUACCCUGGUCAUAACUGAGAUGCAAGAGUGCUUCUCCAUGGUGAGGCUCUAGAUUGCUGACCCUGACAUCCUCUUGCUCCAUUCAGAAAGAGGUGUCAGCCUAAGCCUGAGCCGAGCUUCCUCUCUCCAUCCCAGUUGCUCCCCACUCCAUAAGUUUUGCCACUUCAGCAACCUCAAUUUCAACAAAACUGUUACUCAAAAUAGAUUCCUCCAGAAGCUGCCCCGGCUGUGGUCUCCUGCAGAGUGAGAGUCAUGGGUUCAUUGCAGCUGCUGACCAUCCAUUCUAAGAAGCCUUUGGAUCUGCCCUCCAGAUUUGUGGAUAUUUGCUGAUGUAUUCCCCCCAAAAUUCAAAGGAUACCUGAAAGUGCUCGUAUUGAGAUAUAUGUGUGUGUGUGUGUGUGUGUGUGUGUGUGUGUGUGUGUGUGUGUGUGCAUAUGUAUGUAUAUAUAUCACAUAUAUAUAUGUUUAUGCAUAUGUAUGUGUAUAGGUAUAUGUAUAUGCAUUGGUAUAGGUAUAUAAACCGGUUUUCCCUUAAGCCUGUAUUCUCUUGUCCCUAAACCUUAGCUAGGAGGUACAGAGAUCUGGCCAACAUCCUCUUUUCCUAUAUUCCCAAAUGCCUGGCAUGGGCACAGGAAGCCAAAUCCAAACACUGCCCCAAAAGCUGUCCCUUUCAAUGGCAGGCAAUCCUUGCUGACUAAAGCCAAGGAAGGUCUUCUGCAUCUCCUCAUUUGAAGUGCUUCCUCUUCCUCUUGGCCUGCCUGAACAAAGCCCAAGCUUCUGACCCAGUUUAAAAAAAUCCCAUUACUGCACACCUUCCCUGACAACCCAGCACACCCUGGACUGUCUUCCUGGCACCUAGCUCUAGUCACUCACCCACUCCUUUAGGCCACCUUGGCAAGGUUGCCUUCUGCUGGAAUUUAAUUCAAGUGUGACCUUUCUGCAUCCUUCCACCUUGGGUGAUGAGUCUGUCGAAAAGCCAUUCCCAUCUCUACCACAACCUCUAUUUCUAGGAUUUGCUGGCUCCACCCUUACAGGUGGAGCUCAGCUAGGUGACUACACCCUGGGAAGGCAGAACUCCCACCCCAAAAUACACACACACAAUGUUGAGACCUUAAGCCCAAAGUUGCUGACAGCUGGAAAGCUCUGGUCUCCAAGUAGCCUGAUGUCUCCAGGGUGAAAUUAUUCAUCUGGUUUCAGGGUGUAACUAACACAAAGUCAAAACAGAACUCUGGGCUUCCAGAGUGUUCUAAAGAGCUAAUAAAUCCAUAGUGAACGAGACUUCCUAAAUUGAGUCUCCUUUAUGAGGCAAUUCAUGAGCCUGGUUUUGUCUACUGAAACAGUAAAUGACAACUGUAAAUAUUAACAAAAUGGUGUGGAGACUAGAGAAAAAGGAAACAAAACACACUGGUGAUCCUGUCUGGUUCCCACAGAGGACUGCCCUGUGUGAGAUUUCUGGUCACCAACCUCUGCUUGCUAAUUCAUGCUACUUUUAGAGAAAUGUAAUUCCAAGAAGGAAUGAGCAGUCUAGUCUGGUGGAAUGGGGUAGUGUUUCAUUAUGCUGAAACCACACAAGAGUGAAUAUUAUUAUUAACUCUGUGACUAUUAAAUGAAAGUCUGAUUCUAAAGAUGGAUUCUGGGUCACUCAUGAAACGUUUUGUUCAUGCGUGUGUUAGCAGACAGCUUUCAGGACACAAUUAACACAAAGUCAUUGUUGAUAAUUUUUUUUUUUGGUUUGUUUUGAGGUAUAAGUACAGGCUG
ensembl:lncRNA